GGCUAAUGAUUUAUAUUCGUUUUCUAUAAGGAACUGUCCCUGGAUCUAUUUCCAUUUUUCAUUUUCCCUUUUAUUUUUUCUUUUUCUUUUCUUAUAUAUAGAUUUUUAAAUCAUUGCUCCAUAUGAAAGCCAAAUGAUUCUCAGUUCUUUUCUUGAAACUAUUUAUCAAAUUUAUUGGGUUGUUACUUCUUGUUAAUGGUUUGUUUUAUAAUUUUAAAAGACAUAAGCAGCUUUGAAGAACACUGCACAAAAUUUAUUUGGGUCUGAGCAGGAUUUUGGACCAUAAACCCCUUCAACAAACCUUCAGAUUUUUGAGAUUCACAGUGAUUGGUAUAUGUUGAUGAAGAUUUAGGCAUAGCAGGAACCUGAGGUAUGUUUUCUGGAUUUCUUCUGUGAGUGGUUUUUACUCAGCUUUGGUGUUGUUCUGUGCUGGAUCUGUUCUGAUGAACUACGGUGGAUACUCUGCCAUUUUUUUUUGUUCUUUUUGUAAUGGGGUAUUGUUGGUCAUAUGGGUGUUGUAUUCUUCUCCAUUCAAGAAACUAGACACAGGGCUACACCCAAUUAAAGAAAAGUUAAAUUAAUAUAGGCAUUCUGGAGCAUGGGUGAAAGAUGUUUUUCUUCCCUUAGUUCAGAAAAAUGUAAACUUCUGUAGCUUCUAUAGGAGCUCCCUUUCUAGCCGAAUACUGCAAUUUGGUGGAAUUCCUCUGUAGAACCUAAAUCCUAGAAGGCUGGGUUAUCUGUGCUGUGCUAGGCCAAUGAAGGCAUCUAGUUGUUUCAAUUGAAUGGCAGUCAUAAUUUUGAUUUAAAAUCUAUAAAACGUGGUCUCUAAUUUCCUUGUAUCUAUUGGCACAAGUUAUUUGUUGAUCAAGAACAUUCAUUGGGGAAAAAAAAUUAGCAUGUUAUCCAAUAGAUGGGAGAUAUAGCUUCUUGUACUGGAUGGAGCUAGUCUCAAACCUGCAGAUUGUUCCCAAGAAAAGGUUCGGAUUCUUCUGAAAGUUUGAUAUUAAUAGUGUUUACUAUAAUAAUAUUGUUAUAUUACAAAGAGAGAUGAAGACUAAUGACCAAUGUCUAAUUCAAUAGAAGAUAUGGAAGAAAACCAAAUGAUUACUCUUCCUGUUAUGCAUAGGUAUCUCGUAGAGUUCAAUAACACAAUUAAUUUGUCCAAUCCCUUCCAUAUUAGGCUUUUACAUCUCUUUUCAAAAGAAUGAUUGGUUCUUCCUUCACUACCUCUUCCUUUUUUCUCGAUAAGCAAAGAAAAAUAUAUUAGAAGCACCUAAAAAAAGGCUCACAAAAAAAUACACGAUGUAUACAAAGACACCAAAAGGCCAACCAAAGCUGAGGGAUAAACAAAAAAUUUCCUUGACUCACUUAGAGCUCAACCAAUCAAUGAACUCUAGCAUGAACAAAGAGCUAUCACCUAUGUACACUCUAGCCCAUCCCUAAAAAGCAUACAUGAAGCGCUGAUUGGUAGCUUGGUCCCCUUUUCCAAUAUUUUCAAAAUUCUCUUGUUUCUUUCUUUGCAGAUGGUCCAAAUAAACACAAAGAAGCAGCUUUCCGGGAUUUUUUCUUCUUCUUGACAAAGUAUCUAUGCCACCCCAAAUAGAGCCAAAAUGGGCUAUCACAACAUAAUUGCUUUUGUGUGGGGAAGGAGGAUAUGAUCAAUGGUUUCUUCAUCUCCUUUGCACAAAAAACAUCUGUUCUGGAUUUAUCACCCCCUCCUUUUAAGCUAGUCUAAUGUUAACAUUCUCCCCCAUGUGGCUUCCCAUGCAAAAAGGCCUGCCCUCACCAGGACCCAAGAAAUCCAAGUCAUUGAAUGGACGAGUAAGAGAUUUUACUAAGAAAUUGCCACAUCUUGAUUUUAGUUGAACCAUCUAAUCCUUUAUGUCUAUGCAAAUCGAUUGUUCUUGUAAUCUCUUGAAAAAAGCCUCCAUCUCAUCUAUUUCCCGUCAUGGAUUUGUCUUGUGAAUCUAGGUUUCUGGCCCCCCCUCAUUCUACUCCCACAUCUCGGCUAUCCUAUCCAAGCAUCUUCUCUUGUUCUUCCUAGAACAGAAUACUAAUAAAAGAACCACUGAACUUGAUCUCAAAUUUUUAUGCAGAAUUUAGAAUCUUUUACUUUGAAUUGCUGAUUCUAGAAUCUAGAUAUGACAUCAUCUUAAAAAAAGGAAAAAAAAAGUUCUUAAAAGUGCAUCAUAGUUAAUAAAGUCUUCAAAUGUGGCUUUCUAGUUAGUUUUUCUAGUUGGAGAAAUGUAUGUUAGCUCAUGUAGAAUUAAAGAGAUGGUGGAAUAGUAAACUCUUUAGUUAAUGUGCUAAUACAUUCUAAAAACUAGAUAUAAUUUAGUGGUAUGUGAUUCAUUUUUCCUAGGCAUAUUCUCAGAAUGCCAUGGCCUUAAUCUUCCAACCUUGUAGCCACAUGGAAAAGGAUGAUCAAUGGCAUAUCAAACUUUACUCCAUAUGAAAUGAUACAUUUUGGGGGUGUGAUGGUACCAGCUCAUAGUGUAUAAGUGAAGGCUCCAAAGCCUGAUUCCAAGAUUUAAAACUCUUAUAUGACACUCUCAAGCUGUGCGGGGUCCAGUUGGGUGGUUUCUAGUCAUUUAGAUGUGUUUAAGUUUUCUUGUAAAUGGUUUACAUGUUUAAAGUAGAACGAAAGCCAAGCUAUUACGGGGAUUAACAUGGUAUUACUAUUCAAACGAUUGUACUAAAAUUGGAGUGAGAUAAGAAAGAUUUUACAUCCUUUUUACUUGGUCUAAAUUAAGGGCUGAGAAUCUCAAUAUCCUUUUAGUUUAAGGGAAAGGAUUAAUUAUUUUUAUGGAGUAUAAGUCUACAACAGUGUUAGACCUAUCUCUUUUCAAGGAUAAUGAUAGAUUAAUGAGAAUUCGGAGCUUUGAAACUCUUGUAGUGGGUAUGAUUACUUAGGAAACAUUCAAUAUGAAUGCCUAGGUUUUCUCCUCCUGCUUUUUCUUCUUUUCCUUCAUUUAAUUCCUUUGAGAAUAAUGACUGGUUUGCUGUUUGGUACUUAAACCACAUAUAAGCCCUUGAUCAACUGGAAUUAACUGUUAAAUUUAAUCACAGAUUUUUAUUCUGACCAUUUCUAGUCACUCUCAAACCUUUCUAAGCAAUCCCUAAUUAAUUUUCUUUUCUCAAGUUAGUGCCAGUGUUGGUUUGUUGUGUUUAGGGGGAACUAGUUUAGUAUUCUCUGGCUGCCACUCAAAUUAAAAAUGAGGCUUGCUUUGUGCUAAUUAAUGCUUCAUGUGUAAUCAGACUUGUAAAAAUUGCAUAUGAACUCCUGCUAUUGGUUUGGUCUAUCUUAGUUUGCUUUGAUUAUUUUGUGCAACCUAUGAAUGGGAACCUGGAGUUGAGAUGCAUGAUUCAAAGAUUGAAGUCCUCAUUAUCUUGGCCCUAAUUUUCCUAACAUUUUACCAAAUCUUGUCAAUGAUUUAUGGAUAAAUGGAAAUAUAUUUCUAUUUACUUCCUUGUUCAGGUUGCUGGUAAUCCUCAUAGUAUCUUCUCACUUUGAGUUAACUGGAAGCACAAGCCUUCUAAUGCAUGCCAAAAGUCUCACUGUAAAUUGUCAUAAUAAUAUGAGUGGGUAGUAUGAUCAAUUGCUUCCCCUUUUUCCUUUUAUCAUAUCUUGCUAAAUACUUCUUUCUUGACUCUAUAAUAUGUUCUUGAAGUCAUUCUUCUUCAAUGCACCAAUGGAGAUGAUUUUUCAACUUUCAAACCUCAUAACUUCCCCGAAACUUUAUCCCUAUGUAGAUUGUUAUACUAAUGAGUAUGAGAUCAAUACAUGAGUCUGAGUAAACACCAGAGUGUGAGAAAAUAGGUUUCUAUUGCCUUUCCAGAAUGCUUUACUCAUUGGUUUAAGAAGGAUUUACUUGUAAGUGAAUUUAAAAAGGAUUGGAGGGAGGAUAGUUUGGUGGCAUUAAGACAAGUAACCUGUGAAACUAUUUUGGCGGUUUGAGUUGCCUUGUAAAUAGAUCAAACAGGAUCAAUAGCAAAUCUCAAUCAAUAUGGCAGACACAUUUUUCUUCGAUUCCUUCAUUUGGCCUUGUGGUUGAAAAAGGGAUAACAAUAACUUAAGGGCAUGUUUGAAUAUCUUUGUGCAGUUGUCUGUUUAAAUAUGAAGUAUGGUGCGCAUUCAUUUUAUUUAGUUUCAUCAUGUCAUGUGAACAGGAAGUUAUUGAAUGAUUAUGAAUUGUGGCUUGAGAAGAUUUGAAAUUUCUUCAUUUGGAUGAGGUGAAACUUCUGUUACUUUGGGUUAGGAGACAACCUAGCAGGGGUAGGCUGAGGAUGGAGACUGAAUAACUUCCUGAAGUUUCUUUUCAAUCCUCUUCAUAGGAAACUUGUAAAUGAGACGAAGAGAUGUUUAUUAAGCAUUUUGAAGACAUUGCAGUCAUUCUUUACAAUCCUAAAACUUUUUAACCAUAGGUUGUGGGUGGAGUUUCUUUUGGUUCGGGAACAGGGAUAAAUGUGAAGUGGCUAGAACCACAUGGUCAAGUCAGAGGAAAUCUGGCCAAAGAUGCUGAACACAUAUUGGGAUACCUGAUUAGGAACUUCUUGAUGUUUUUUUUUCGGUGUCUUGAGUAGAUAAAACAAUAAAAUAUUAUUUCUAUUGUUAAUGAAAGAUACCAGGUGCUGAUGAUUAACCUACUCACAUCUUUUCCAUCCCUGUCUUGCAUCAUGAUGAAAUUAGAAUGCUGCCUAGAUGAGCCCUAGUUUUUUGUUUUAUCCGAAGCUGAAUGCAACAUCUUAAGCUUGCCGUUAGUCUCAAGAAAUGAAUAUUGUAAACCUUUAUACUUCCCUAUAUGUCUAAACUUGGCAUAUACCAUCAGUCUCGAUCUCCAUCUUAAUCAAUCUAGUUUUGCCUGUUUUCCUGAAAAGUUUGGUGUCACAUUUGUUUGUUGUUUUGGGAGGUUCUGGUUCACCUUUAUGCGAGGUCCUUUGUAGGUGUCUAAUUGUAGCAUGAUCUGCCCUUUUCCUUGAAAUUGAAAUUCCAAAGCUAUGUCCCAGAUCAUUACCUUGAAAUUUUCACUGGAUUUUGUUUACAAGAUUCAUAUGCUUUUGUGUGCUUCAGCAAACUAACACUUUUGAAAGUGUACAGAUGAACAUGGAUAAAUGGUAGUCAGGUAAUUACACUGAGGCACUGGGCUUCUUGCUUCAUUAUCUUUCAAUUUAUUUAUUUUUCUUUUUUUGGGUCAAAUAUUCUUUCAAUAUCCAUCUGCCCUUUUUCUCACCGCUUUCCCAAAGUCCUUCAAAAUACAAACUACCUUUUUAUUCAGUGUUUUCCUUGAAACUUCCUCAAGGAAAGUGAUGUGAUAAAAUGGCCCACGGGAUUCUUUUGUUCCUGAGAGAAGACGUGUUCUUUAGCAGUGAGUUGGCCACCUUUCGAUGCCUUAAAAACAUUUCAAGGUCACAUCUUUGAUCUUGACUUGCCUUCUAAAAGGAGUAGAAACACCACAUCACAUAUUUGGCCUUGCAUGUUCUGACUAUUUAUACUUCCCAAAUUUUAGAAUUGUUGUCGGGGAGGUCCUCUUGCUGCUCACCAAUGUCAACCCCACAUUGAUCUCCUACUGAGAUUUAUAAUCAGGCAAAAGAAUGACACCCAUCCCAACCAUAAUUUAUAUAAUAUACAAUGCCUUCUGAUUAAAAGAGUUAAUAAAAUGACUUUAAAUAACACCCAAAAUUGAGAUACCAUUCUGUCUCAGUAGUUCUUGAGUUUUAUCAAGAAGUGGAAGACAGAAUCUUAAUCUUGAGGUUAUUCUCACCAAGUAAAGAUGUUCAAAUGUCUCUUUUUAUCCUCCUCUACAUGUAUUACUUUAAAAAUUUUGGAAUCAUCUGAAUUACAUGUCUCCAUUUCUCUCACUUUUCGUCAGCUUUCCUAGAAAAGUCUGAUUAGGGUCCCAGUUGUCUUUGUUGGUUAAUCCUUUGCUGAGACCACCUUGUUUUGGGAACUUCUGUUUCAUUCCUGGAUCAGGUGCUUUCUCAUUAGGCAUUGCUUCUUGUUGUAAGAUAUUGUCCAUCUUGGCUGACACUUGAUUUCAAAUUCACUAUAUUUUGUCACUGAAGAUUUUGGCUUUCUGUGUGCUUUCAGUACUGAAACUCUAGAAAAAGAAUGGAAUUGACAGCACUGAUGUUUGUUUCAGAAAUAGUAGUUAAUUUUCUUAAGUAAUAGCAAAUUGUCAUUAUCUUUGAGCCUUGUCUGUGAAGCUUCCUAAAAUAAAGUGAAGUUAUUAACAUGGCCCACAAGCUUUUCUUGCAACUGGGGGGAAAUGAGUUGUCCAUGUUUGGUGCUUGAAUCAUUUGGGAUCACAUGGUUGAUCUCCACUUAACCUCUAAAGAAAUGAGUAUUUUUAAUUCUUUUCCAUUUUCUUUUUUCUGUUUUGCCAUGAUAACUGAUCAUUUACAUGUUUCAAGUUACAGACACUUGAGGGGGUGGGGUUGUCAUGCCUGUGGGGCUUGCUGUGCAUAUACACAGCAGUACAACCCGGCAGAAGUUUUUUCACUCACUUGGUUAUUUAUUUCUGUAUAGGUAGCUAAAUACUUGGUUGGUUGUGUUGACUUUGUACCCAUGAUCUCUCUAAAUGUUAUAGCAAAUAAUUUUGUGGGGGUUCAAUUCUUGAGAUAUGAAUGCAAGCAAUUCUGAAUUUGUUACACUCUAAAAGUUUCAUUUUUAAUCUGAGUCUUUGGAUUUAGUCAUCAUCGACUGUGUCAUUUUUUCUGAAAGAUGCGUGUUAAGAGGCAUGGCGGAAAUUUGGGGGCUGAAGCCUGGAGAGUCCAACUGGGAAGGCAGUACCAGGUACACAUCAAACAGCCAUGUUUUGUAAAUAUUACAUGUUUACAUAAUUUCCCUAUGUUUUUUGGCUACAUUUUGCUCUUCAUGGAGUGUCGUUGAGAUUAAUGUUUUAGUUCAUGGUUGACAACUCUUCCAAAGGAAAUUGCAAACUGCCUGUUGCCCUUUUUGCCUUUAUUGUAGACGCCAGUUCUGAACAAAAACCACAAAAAAAUGUGAAGCAUAGAUGAACUGGGUGGGUGCUCUUGUUUUUCGAAGUCCUCAGCCUUCAACACUUGUUGGUCCUUUUGCCUUUAUUGUAGGCGCCAGUUCAUACCAAAAACCACAAAAAAAAAUUGUGAAGCAUUGAUGAACUGGGUGGGCGCUCUUGUUUUUCGAAGUCCUCAGCCUUUUUAACACCUGUGAACCUGUUUUUGAAACAUUUUUAUCAAGUAAAUAUAGUAUGAGAACUGUGAAGAAGCUUACAAUUGCGGCUCAA